GCUCCUACAGAUCUUAUUGCAGAAGUACAUCCAGCCUUCCAUAUCUUCCAAAUGGGAGAUUUUAGGGAGCAAAAUCAACCCUGCAGGGAACAUGAAUAACUGUUUCUUCUCUUGGCACUUCCUAAACCCCAUGGUGUGGCAGCUGCUGGCCUUGUGUUCUCUAUCAGGUAGAGGAUUGAUCCAGAGGGCUUGAAAGCACUUGUAUUGGAUUAUACACAGGCACUGCAUCUCUUUGUGAAAUAGAUUUGUGCAUCUUAGGAGUUCAGUAUCCUGGGGAUCCUGGAACUACCUCCUGUGGCUACUGAGGGAUGAGUGUGGUUGUAGUUUCAGUACUGCUUAAGAAACUGAGGUAGAAGCAGCAAAUUCAAGAUCAUCAGUACUCCCAGAUAGAGCAUUCCCACAUCUCCCGGGAGAGCAAACACCUGCAUUGUGAAACAUGCCUUCAUCCUGUUCUUGCCUCUGAGCCUGCAGGGGUCUCCAUGGACUCCGGGAGCCUUGUGAUGCUCACACGACUCCUUUGAAAGAAGCUUCCAGUCAUUUGCCUUUACUACUCUGGGUUCUGGCUCUGGGUUUGUGGCUAUGCGAGGUUCUACAACUUGGUGAAAUUUCUGGGAUUCAGACUUUUCAUUCACAGACAGGUACCCUAAAAGUCAUUUCUCAGGGUUGCUGUGAACAAGCCUGAAGUAUGAUUCCCACUGUGCUAUAAAGUACAUGGUUAUGCCAACUCAUUGUGGGAAGGGUCACAAUAGAAAGGCACUAGUGUUCACAUGGCAUGUGUCUCGGGGUCUGGCAGAUGCUAAGUCAGCUCCUGAGAUGUGCUUUGAGACCCUCCUUUCUAUGAGGAAUGGGUGAAGCUGCCUUGGAACCCAAUCUCCCUCCACCUUUGUUAUUAUUUUUGAAGUAAUAAUGUUAACCUUUUGUUUUAAUUCCCUGGUUAUUCCCCUGGCUGCAGCUAGAGAUUUUAUCCUUUGGCAAAAGAAAGCAGUUUUAUUAGUGAAGCAAGCAGUUAAUUAAAAAGAAAAAUCAAAGGCUGGAGUUUGUUGGGGAAAACAACUGAAAUCAAACGCAGCAUGUCAAUCUUCAGCUCCUCCCAGCCCUGGCUCAGGCAGAUGGCGUGAACGCAGCGGGGACUCAGGGACACGUGAGCACAUGGUGCUCAUAAUGGCUGCAGCUCACUGUCUUCCAUGGAACCCAGAUCAUCUGUGACCCAAGUCAGACCUGACCUUGGCCUCAAUACUCCAUCACCAUGAGAAGCUGGAUUGUCUACCUUGAGCACAACCCUUUCUAGAGGGAGGAAAGACAUAGUCUUGCCAAAACUGCCUAAAGUCUCAGAAUUCAAUUAAAGUGGACUUAAUUUUAUAAUCAUCUGCACUAAGCUCAAACUGUAGGCUGGUAUAUUAAUUCACCAUUGAAACUCACAGUUGCAUGUGAUCUAGGUUAAAUGCUCCUGAGAGUUUAGGGUACAGGGAGGUGAACAUUUCUGCUUUCUUGCAAGCUGGCCCAGGAUUGCCCAGGACCCAUAGCCUCAGGAGCCUGACUGCAGAACCUGUGUAUAGCCUAGUCACUCUGACUGGCUCCAGGUGGGGAUUUAGAUUUUCUAUACCCCCCCCCCUUCCAUGCCAUAAGGAAACCAAAUUAAUUAUUUGGUCAGGCAGUCAUUUUUUUUAAAGAGGUCAGGCUACUGGUCAGGAGUCAGAGCCUGGUCCCCUUGGCUUUCUGGCUUAACAUUUAGCUCUCUUACCCCAAGAAAGGCUGAGUGAUUGGCUCCUGGUUCUACUCUGAUCUCUGGACACCACCUCUGCUCAUUUCCUGGCUCCUGCCAACCAUGGACUGGGCAUUUGUGCUUCCUUACCAGCUGUGGGCUGUCUCCUCCUCACCUGUCUUCAGGCACAGUGCUGGCAGGGCUUUGCUUCCCAGGCAAAGAUGUGGGUGCUGCACUCAGACCAUGCUCUUCUCUUAGCAAAUGCUAUCCUGGGCACUUUCAGCCACUGAUGAGCUUGUGUGGGCUGCCUGAGAUGCAGCUACAUAAAGGAGCCUGGACUGUGGGUACGGACAUUAGAAUUAGCGUUUGCAGCCAAACAAGGUCAUCUGCCUAAUUGUGUCAGGGCGUACAAGAGAUGUGUCGCUGUUAUCUGCAGCAAGCUUCCGCGCUGGGGCAAAGUUGUUCUGGGAUAAGGACGAGGAGUCACAGCAGACCAUGAUAACUGAACUCCUUGAUCUCUGUCUGGGUCUUCAGGGACUGAGGCUGUUAGUUGAGCAGGGCACAGUACUCAGGCAUCCUUUGGGACAGUGUGCUAUGCACCAAGACAGCCAAGCUCAGUAGAGCAGUGCUGGAGGCCUGUGGGUGCCUGGGUGGUUUGGGCACUGGAGUUCCUGAAUCCCUGAAAGGCAGACUAGAGCAGAAAGCAUUUAAUUCCUAAAGUCCAAGGUCACUCAACGUCCUGAUGGCACUGACUCUUCUUGUGGGGUGGGAGGGUGAGCCCUGUGAUCUCUGAAGCUGUGGGAGAGGAUGUGCAUGUUUCAUGCUCAUUGUUCUUCCUGCCUCUCAACCUCCCUUACCCUCAUGGAGCCCGAGGAGGGAGACCCCUGCCCCUGGGAUUCUAGUUCCAUCCAACGGUGGCAGGAUGUUCAUACCAGUCAUCAGCAGCAUCUUUGCCGCAAAUGGCUUGUGGAUAUUCCCAGUGCACCAUGACAUCCUCACGUUCUGGGGGUGAGCCAUGGUCCUUGCUUCAAAUGUUUUCUGUAUUGACCUGAACAGUGGACCAGGCUCUAGGCCUGACUCGUUCAAAUAGGAGUCAGUACUCACACACAGUUAUUCAGUCUAAAUUAAGUCAAACACUCAGUUCAUCAGAUUGCCCACAUUUCAAGUGGGUUUAGCUAGCCAUGACCAGGUGGUUAGUUAAGGGACAUUGAGGGACCAUUUCUGAUGAGAGGUCUAGCUUUGUUAGUUGGGGUGAGUUAAAUGUGUGUUUGAAUGUCUUCAAGGAUAGAAAGUAAUAAAAAGAAUGAGAAGAGUGAAUCACAUGCUAAGUAUUUCAGCCAUGGCAGCCAGAGAUGCCUUCACAGAAGAUGGAAGCCCUGACCAAGGCCGGGUGGAGUGUCGGGGCCAUAGGUUGGCAUUUGCCCUAUGCACGCAGUGCUGUGGUUCUGUGUGCAAGCUGUAGGCCCAGAGAAGACUGAUAGGAGGGCAAAUGCCGGGGCCUGUGGCUCUGCCAAGGAGCAUCACUCCCACUUACCUCCACACUGAGAACCUGGGUGAGUCAGGACAAGCCAUUGUACGCUAGGAGCUGCUGCAACAAUCACCAACCACUUAUAAAGCACUGUGUGCACAGGAAAUAAACUUUUCUGAACUGCUGGGGUCCUUUCUGUAAGUCAGUCAUAAAAUGUGGUCCUAUGAACCAAACCUCAGAGUAUCGGGUUAAGCAGAUGACCCAUCAGCAUCUCAGACUCCCUCCAUACAGACACAGCCUUGGGAUGUCAGAAUCUGCCGGGUGGAGAACAGUCAUGAGAUGCUGCUCCCCAGGCAUAUGCUACACCAAACUGGUGACUUUUGAGCCAAGAACUUCAGUAAUCUCUCCAUUUCCCACAGAUGCUGUGUGUGGGUCUCUUGUAUCUCUAACCCUCACCAGCUUCAGUGUCUCUUUCAGAAAGGAUCAGGAGGUGGCAGCUGGGAAUCCAAACCUGGCCCACACCUGGGAGAAGGAUAGGGACAGGUAUGCAAGCCACAUCAGAGACACUGGUAUAGAUUAGAUGCAUGACCCACAUCACCAACACUUGAACCAUCAAAGGUACACAAGUCAUGGUACAGAUGUAUUAGCCAUGUGGCAGGUGGUAUGCCACGGUACAAAUACAGGAGCUCUGUCACAGACAUAGUAAAGGAAGUAAGCAUGUCCUAGACAUGUGUGCCACAUCACAGAUAGUGUGCCAUGUCACAGAUGGUAAGCUACUGUACUGAUGUGGGAGCCAUGCCACAGACAUGCGACCCACAGUACAGAUACAUAAGCUGCGUGUGUCAUGGUUUUCCACCCUCUGUACCUGCUCACGGAAGCUAGGCUUUGCACUUCUUAUGGAACCAGCAUGAAUCCUGACUCAUUCUCUGAUGCUUUCUCCAUGACUCUCCUUGGACUGGCAUGAAGCACCUAGAGAACAAUCUUGCCUUGCAGGUGCUCUGAAGAUAGAGUGAUCAUAUCCCAGGAGCUGACUUUCCCUGAGCAUCCGGGUUUAUGUGGGUAUCUUUUCCUGUCAUGGCUGGAGCAAUCAGCUUAGGCAUGCCCACUGAAGCAGAAGCCCAAAGAUACUCCCACUCUUCCUGCCCAGAACCUUGGUCAGCUCCCAGACUCAGUCUGGCACCUAAAGCCAGACUUGAUCCACAUAUCAAAGUGGAAGUGGACCCAUGUGAUUGUUUCCCAAGCAUGUGACCUUCAUGGUUCACUUCCCACAAGGCACUCAGCAGUGUGUGACUACAAUCUCCAGGGGAAGCAGAACUUCAUCUAGUAAGUCCAAGGUCUCAUCUGCGUUGGCCAGUAAUUCCUUCUCCUUCCAGAUGGCAGCAUGGGCAUGAAGUAUCCAGCAUGUCCCAAAGUCCAGCCUUACACCUCAGGGAGGAGAAUUCUGCCUACUUCUCAUAGGGACCAACAUCAAGCACAAUGUGGAUAUCACAUGGACUGGUGAAAAUUAAUGAAAGGGUACCAUCGUCCUGGAAUCCUGCUGCUGGGCUAAGAGACCUGCCAUCACCACCAUCACCGUAACCAUCACUAUCACCACCUACGUAUUAGAUAGGUGACCUGAAACAGAUCUCGUUAUUUCACAAAUCUGUAAAAUGUACCUAUAACCAUAUUGCUCUUGUGGGACUUCUGUGAGUAAUUUGGGAUGUAAGAAUUUACAGUGAUGGCAUCAUCGUCACAAUCAUCGUCAACAUCAUGAUUCCAUCAUCCUCAUAGCGUCUUCAUCUUUACCAUAGUUACCACUACCACCAUUAUCACCAUCAAAACUGUCGUCACCACCCAUCAUUAUCAACAUCUUCACAUUCACUGUUACCUUUGCAAUGGUCACCAUGACCACUACCACCAUCAUCACCUUCACCAUCUUCAUCACCAACAUCACAAAUGUCACCAUCACCAGCAGCAGCAGCAGCAACUAUUGCUACAUGGAAGUUGUCAGACAAUGGGAGUUAUAGACUGGUGAUUUCUCCCAGGGACAACAGUGGAAUAAAGAUAUUCUCUAAACUAA